AUCACGUGACCGCCCCAUAAGCUUAACCAAUGCAGCCUGAGCCGGAAAGAGAAUUGAUUAGUUCAUCUCUCGAGUCUUUCGAGUCGUUCGUUCUUUUGUCAAGUGACAUGACAGCAUUGGAUAGACAAAUUAGUUAAUUUACAACCUUCCUUACAAACGCAUAGUAAUUAUUAUUAUUAAUAUUAUUAUUAUUAAUAUUAUUAUUAAUAUUAUUAAAACAUAACACCAUAGAUCUUCAAGAAACAGUAACAAAAACAUAGUGACAGAAAUGGACAGACCUUUUUUUAUUUCUAGGAAAAUGCUUAUUACACAUCUUUUGAUAAUUUUGUGAUAAUUCCUAAAUAUGAUCCAACAUACAAAAAAUACAGUUUUACGUUAUAGUAUUACUGACUGAGGUACUGAGCCGGGAAGUGGUCACGUGACAAAAGAACGAACAACUCGAAAGACUGGAGAAAUGAACUAAUCAAUUCUCUUUCCGGCUCAGACUGCAUUGGUUAAGCUUAUGGGGCUGUCACGUGAUGAACGAAAGCCUCAGACCCGAAGACUUGUCAGCGCAUCCCAGAUUGCACUACCACGUGACCGAUGACGUCAGUGAAACGCAGGAGGAGGUUUGAGUGUUUGGAAAGAUGGGGCUUCAUCCUGCAAACUAUAACAGUGCCCAGAAAACCACAGCUGGGUGAGGGCUUGCUGGACAUGAUCGUAAUGGAUGCCCAGCUGCUGUCACUGAUUACAACUAAAGUCUUCCAGGUCUUUAAUCUUCUGGACCCUAUAUAGAUCAUCCCUGGUAGGAAGGCCUUGAAGACAAUGAUGGAGAAAAUAAGGCCACCAGAGUGAAGGCUGUUGCUGAGAUAGGAAGAUCUCAGCAGUCAGCCUAACAGCUGACAUGUGGACCUCCAUGCUUACUUGACUGAGGUGCCACUUCAUCAUAGUAAAAAAAAAAAAAAGGUUUCCCCAAA